CUUUUGUUAUUUUUUCCCCUCAGCCUACUUCAAUUGUUCCCACAACUUGGUCACAGACUCGGACAAGUUGCCAGAGAUCUGCAGACACUUCCCAGAGCCUGGAACAGUUUCCUCUUGCUUCACUAGCAGUCACACUAGAGGUGGGUGACAGCGCCAUGGAGGAUUAACAAGCAAGGAACAACCCAAAUCUACCAUCAAGAGUCUGCAGCAAGCACAAGAGGGCAGACUGAUGCACAUCAUGGAUCUUGCUAACAACAGAGGUGUCAACCUCCUGCUCAAUUUUCUGCUUAUCGUCUUGGUUCUGGUGCUCGCAUUUAUCCUUGUGAAGCUGAUGUGAACCUCUGUGAGGCUCUGCUUUUCAAAUCUUACUUUGCGAUGAUAAUGUAAGACACUUUGAACUAUGUGAACAUAAACAUGCAAAGCCUGCAGAGACUGAAAUAUAUGCCAAAGUAUCCACGCACCUAUUUUAUCAGAAAGCAAUCCUAAAAAUUGUUCACAAUCAUCUACCUGCCACUGAAUAAAGCAAGCAUCUAGAGCCUCGCUGAGUACCUGAAGAAAUCCAAGUAUGUGUCAGAAGUUACUGUAGUUUUCUCACUGCUACAGCUGACUUGUAUUUAAAGAUCUACAAAAGAUAUGCAGCCUUCAAGGAACAUCAUUUCUGCAAAAAGGGACAGCAGAAAGCAAUUUUUUUAAAUGGAGUUUCUGUAGAACAUGUACAUUAUGGGAAAUGACACAGAAACAGCAGGAAGGCAAAAUGAAACACCUACAUUGGGCUGACAGCAUGCAUCAAAUUACCUGUGGAGAGCAAAAGCACAGAUGCUGUAGAUGGAAACGAAUAUCUAUGAAAAGCAGCUUGCAGCAACUGAGAUGGGGAUAAGCUAAAUACAAAAACAUAAUUAUUAUACCUCUUUUGACCACCUACAGUUCACAGCAACACCUUAAAAGCCAGAAGCCAUUAGUGUUAUCCAACAGUAUCAAAAGAAGCAGCUGUCAAAACAACUGAAAAAUAAACUACCAUUAGCAAGGGUUAUCAUAACUCUGCCUAGGAGCCCUUAACACUGACCCAUACUCAAGCUGCAGGCGCAUCUGCACGAACGCAGGAAGUGUGCUACAGCCUCAAUAAGCCGGAUUUACCACUUAGGCACAGGUCAAGUGUGCAGUGUGGGAGCCCUCAAGCCGUAUUUGACACACCACUUGUUAGUUGCCAGUGCAACCAUGCAGUCCAUAGCUUGUCCUCACUUUCAUCAUGCAACAUAAGCUUCUUACAGGACCUUCUCCUAUGACCCUUUACAGGAUGAUGUACUUUCCCCAGAGGUCCUGGGAAGGACAGCGACCAAGAAGAGCUCACUUCUGCUGGAAUUAUUUGCCCAGAAGGCAGGCAGCUCUAUACACUUGAGAUACACUGGGAAAGAAGGUGGCCAGAAGUAUAUCUUAUGUAUCACACUGCGGCCAAACAAGCACUUCUCUUUCCCAAGUACAACAUGGGAACAAAUUGUACCAACACAUAUGGGUUGUACAACAACAUACAUGUUGUACAGUGAACUUAAUGCCAUACAUACCCAUAUUAAGAGUCUUUUGCACACAUGCAAAUGAGGUAGAUGUUGCUCACGAGGUGGGGAAGCCCCAGCUUCCAGCUUUUUAUUGCCAACAGCACACCCCUGAUUCAGCACAUACACUGUUGAUCCACCACUUCUCAGAAGUGCCGAGUAUAUCACACAGCUGAUCGACUCCUGUUCAUCCUCAGGAUUUCCAGAUGAUUACUGGUUACUAUGGGUGGUUCAGUGAUCUGGAAGAGACUCAUCUACGUUGGAGCUACAAAGAAGACUUCUCCUAUGAAACGGCAGUACGCCCAGCAAAACACAGUUUAAUGCCAGUCCUAGCCUUAACAGGCAUCCACAUUCUGCUCUAUGCUACCUGCUCCAAAGCUUAGGCAGCAUUACUGUGCUGGUUUGGGCUGGAAACACUUUUUUCAGCACAAAACCAAAACCUAGUCCCAUACUAGCUACUAUGAGGAAAAUUAAAUGCAGCCCACCCAAACCAGCACAAUUAGCUAGGGCAGCAGGGAUAGUUAAAACAAAGCUUUGCUCUCAUCUGUUACAUGUGCAAAAAACAUUUAAAAUAGCUUCUGCAAAUUACGUAUCUAUAACUUUUUAAUGUUGAUAUAACAAUAUCAGCUCCUGUCUGUUUGCAUUUAAAGCAGAAAACUUUGCAUAGCUACAUCACUGUAAGCACUUUAUUACUUAUUUUGAUAAUCUUGAAAUAUUCUGCUUUAAAAAUAUAUAUAUGCACACAAGGGAUAUAUGUUGUAACAGUUACAUAGUUAUUUAUCAUUUAGGAAGAUUUCUGCUGAUGCUUGACAUGGAUGGCUUGAAGCAUACCAAAACCACACAAACUGAUAUGAAGCCCACUCUAGUCUAAAGAAUAAAAACCAUUUUUCCCAACAAAAUGGCUAUUCUCUGAUACGCCGCUCAGGACUGUACAAAGCUUACUGUCUGUGUGCUCUUCUGCAUAGUACACUGUGAGAGUUUAAUAGCUAAAAUGAGAUAAAUGAGUUAGCCCUGACAAAAAAUAAGUCACAAAUUCCUUCUUACUACUACUGUCACCAAGAAUUAUGUAUUUCCAGAUCCAAAAUUAUAUAAAAAGGAAGCAUAUAAGAAACACUGCUGUUAGAUUGCAGAAAGAAAAACAAUAUACAACCCCAGCAGCCUCCUCUGAGCCAGCAAUGAAAAUAAGAGUCUUCAACAAUGCUGAAAUACACCGUUCAAACUGAAACAUGCAUUUUCUUGAGAUGACAUCUAAAACUGGCAAAGUUAUCAGCUAACCAGUGCCAAGCCUCUUUUCGCAAUCAAGCAUGGUCCAGGUUUGGCUUCCCAUCAUCUGCUAGCGCUUACUCCAGACUGAGCACGCACAUGCAAUGCAAUGAACAGAAUCCCAGUUGUUGGACUACUGACUUCACAGCAAAAGGAACAGAACAAAAGAGCUUAAUUGUGGCUCACAGUGAAGUAGUUCACUCCACUAAGCAAAGCUGGUAACUGCUCACAUUCAAAAGUUUCAUCUUGCUGAAAAGUAUGAUUUUAUCAACAUGUGACACAAGAAAAAUGCUGAGGUUAAUAAUUUUUAGUUGUCUGCCAGGAUCAUAAGAAAAACUAGCUUUCAGCUGAUAUCCGAAUAAACUUUUCUGUGGCAACAAUA